CGUUGCGGUGCGCGGGCUUCUCACUGCAGUGGCUUCUCUUGCUGCAGAGCACGGGCUCUAGGGCACAUGGACUUCAGUAGUUGUGGUGUGUGGGCUUCAGUAGU